ACAGAGGGAAACCAAGUCACUCGCCUGCAAAACGAGGUUUUUUCUGUUACUCUAUUUUGUGCAGUUAACCACCUGCUCCCCGCCCCGUUGGUGGUUUGGCUUUAAUGCGAUUUGACCCCCAAAUGUGAAGCUGGGCAGAAUAAACCCUCCGUUGGGUCCCUGGUGGUGUCAGCCUCCGGUCUCAACCUCUAGCCGCCGAGGAACGGAUCGCAAUCCUGGUUCCCGCGGGGCAGAGACCCGCGCAGCGUUCAGAAGCUGCCGGGGAGUCAGGGGGAGGGGGCGAUGUCUUUCCGAAAGCUCCCUGCAGGCUCAGGACCGCGAGGUUUACUGCGCUCUUAUUUUUUUCAACAUUUUAAGAUACACCUAUACAGGUAGACCAAAACGCAGAGCAAGCACUCAGCUGGAGAAUUUGAUCAAUGCAGAUAAGGAAAUCAUUUAUUUUGUUUUGUUUUGUUUUUUCCUAAGCAGAAGAUUUGGAUGCCCAAUUUGUAAAAUUGUCUCCACUCUCUUUACUUCAUUCCACUAUAUGUAUAAAGCACACAUGUCUAAUAGUAGUUAUUGCUUUGGGAUAAAAGAGUAUAGAGUGGUGGUGGUGGUGGUGGUGAUGGUGGUGGAGAGGAUGUGUAUAUGUGUUUGUGAAGUUUCUCUCAAAGCCAACAUAACACAACAUUUGCCUGGAAGGUUUGUAGAUACAUCGUAGAGUAUCAUUACAUGCAUCCAGAAAUGGGGGCUGGGAUAAAGAUUGCUAGCCUCAGUAAAACUUAAAAAACAUUUCCUAGGUUAAGAAUGUGCCUUUUAGGUCUUAGGUAAAUGAUACUUUUGACUCUAUCUAUCUUAUCUUUCUUAGAAAAUAUAGUUUUAGUGGUGGCAGCAGGAUAGUUCUUAACCUACUUGUCAUAUUUUUCUGAUUUUACUUUCAUUUACCGGAACUGAGUUGAAUAUGGGAAAAUACAAACUGUUUCUUCAAAUAAACGAAUCAUCAACUGGACUUGGUACUGAUAAGUGAAAGAAUUUGGAAGAAGCAUUCAAACUUAUUUCCAUUUAUUAAUCACGGAUGUUUUUAAAAAGUGGCUCAAUGCUAACAUCAUAUUAACCCUUGUUAUAAAACAAGGAACCCAUAGCUACAAAAAGGCAGAAAAUAGAUUAAGGCUUGAGACUUACUUGGAUAUUUUAUCAUAUUUAUUUUAUUUUUAAAAUUGUAAAUUGAAAAAUUAUAGCUAUAUGUAUAGCUAAAUUAUAGCUAUAUGUAUACAUAUAUACAAAAUGAUGUCAUGAUUUAUGAAUACAAUGUAGAAUUAGAUCAAGCUAAUUAACAUAUCCAUCAUUUCACCUGGACUUUUAUUUGUUAUAUAACCUCGAUCCAGUUGCUGAAACCUUUUGAGCUUCAGGUUCUCCAUUUGUAAAAUAGGAGCAGUGAUAUCUUGCGAAGAUCAAAGAAGAUAUCAUAUGUUCACAUAUGUAAAAUGACCCAUGACAAAGCAUAAGCACUUGAUGAAUGCUCAUUAUUUUCCCUUAUAUUUUCCAAGAUAAUAGUCCUAGUAAAAAUAGUCCUAAUUAAAUUGAUUGACCAUUUUUAAUUGGAAUUUCAGGAUAGCAAUAGGGCUAAAAUACUAGGAAGUAUUCCCAAUAUCAUAGGAAUUUAGACAUUAGAAAAGUAACGUAUAAUUUCUGAGUCUAUAAGAAAUUUACCUCUUUAAUAGGAAAGCAACAUCAUUCAGUACUCUGGUUACUUUCCGAUGUAGUAGAAUUAGUCUCCUAAUUAAGUUGCAGUUACUGCUAUUAUACAUCAUUAUGUUUAAAUGGAGUAUCUGGAAGAUGUCUCAAUUAGACAGUCCUCCCAAUUAAGUGUGUCCUGUAGGUUAAUAGAAAUCACUUCCUUUACCUUGGAUAGUGCUGUUUGGAAAAAAUACCAAAGGCCUACUCAUUAAAAGGUCAAAAUUAUGCUUCUCAGUUAACACACCAUUAAGUCAAACUGGGAAACUUUGCCAUGACUGCUUUGUUUUUUGUCAGUCUGGCUGCAAAUCAAUCAAGACAUUACAUUCUGAAUUACAGUAUGAUGUACACUUUGAGGCAGAAUAAUGCACAGUGAGAUCAAUAAAACUCUUCAAAAGAACCAAAAUCUGGCACUUGUCAGAAUACUUCACCAUUUUAUUAUUAUGCAGGUGUGAUACAAUUCAUAAAAUAAUUUGUAAUUAAGAAAAAUCAGACAAGAUGGAGAACAAGAACAAAUGUUGAUAUGACUUCCAGAGGCAAGAAAAAACACCACAGAUGAAUGGGUCUCUCUGGCACCCAGGCUGGAGUGCAAUGGCACAAUCUCGGCCCACUGCAACCUCUGCCUCCUGUGUUCAAGCAAUCCUCCUGCCUCAGCCCUGCAAGUAACUGGGACCACAGAGGUUUUAUUCCCAAAAGAAAGAAUGCUUCCAUCAGAAGACACAAUAAUGAUUCCAUUGAACUGGAAAUUAAGACGGUUACUUGACCAAUUUGGGAUUCUCAUGCUUCUGAAUCACCAGGAAUGAAGAGAAUCACUGUGCUGGCUAGGGUGACUGAUCCUGAAUAUCAAGGGAAAGUUGGAGUACUACUCCACAAUGGAGAGGCUUUUGGCAUACCACUGCCACUUAAAAAUAGCAAGAUAGCACAUAAAGAUCAACUCUGUGAACUUCAAUUCGAGAAGGAAAACAUGACUCAGCUGGAAUUGUGAGAGACACCCAGAUCCUGGUGAAUAGCACACUAGCAAAACUCCAUGUGAUGGCAUCUAGCUGAUAAAGAUGAGAGAAACCCUGGGACAUGAGAGCAGCGGAGAGCUUCCCUUUGUGAUUCAUCUUUCCACUGAAUAACUGAGAAGUCUAGGCCAAGGGAGACCACUAUGUUUCUCCCAAGUCCUAGAAUUAACUUGGGAAGAGGCUUGGAGAUGCUAUGAGAGGAAUACAAUGGGAAAAACUGCAGACAUUUUCCCAGACUGGGGACUGAGAGCAGGAUGCCACUUUUAAUCUGGGUGCGUACAAAAUCAGUCAUUCACCUCUUAGGGAGGGGGAGAAGGAAAAGCAAAAAAUAUUAUUAUAGGGAAAGAAAGAAGAAAAACUCCUACCCACAUGAAAGUAAUACAAACAUUACAAGUGCCAGCAUCUCCAGAUGAGAGGAAACCAACGCAGGAUUUCUAGCACCAUUAAAAAAUCUGAAUGUAGUGACAUAACCAAAGGAUCACACUAUCUCUCCAGCAAUGAUCCCUAACCAAAAUGGAAACUCAGAAAUGACAGAAAAAGAAUUCAAAGUACAGGUUGCAAGGAGGCUCAAUGAAAUUCAAGACGAGUUUGAAAAUCAACACUAAAAAGCAUCUAAAGCAAUCCAGGAAAUGAAGGAAGAGAUAAGCAUCUUAAAAAUAAAUCAAUCAGAGCUUCUGGAAUUGAAAAACUCACUUAAGAAAUUUUAAAAUAGAAUUGAAACCUUUAUCAAUAGACUGGACAAAGCAAAAAGAGAAUUUCAGAGCUUGAAGACCCGUCUUUCAAAAUAAUGCAGUCAGACAAAAAUAAAGAAAAAAGAAUUUAAAAAAUUAACAGCAUCUUUGAGAAAUAUGGGAUUGUGUAAAGUGACCAAACUUAUGAAUUAUUGGCAUUCCUGAGAGAAAAGCAGAAAAAGUUAACAACCUAGAAACCAUAUUUGAGGGAAUAAUUUAAAUUCUUUUUCUAAUCUUGCUAGAGAGGUAUAUUUCCAGAUACAAGAAAUCCAGAGAACAUCUACAAGAACCUAUACAAAAUGAACAUCAGCAAGCAUAUCACCACCAGGCUGUCCAAGGUCAACACUAAAGAAAAAUAUCAAGGGCAGCUAGAGAAAAAGCUCUGACCACAAAUAAAGGGGACCUCAUCAAAUUAACAGCAGACUUCUCAGCAAAAAAAAAAAACCUUACAAGCCAGGAGAGACUGGGGCCUAUUUUUAGCAUUAAAAAAAAUUUCAGCCAAGAACUUCAUAUUCUGCUAAACUAAGCUUCAGAAAUGAAGGAGAAAUAAAAUCUUUUCUGAAUUAGCAAACAUUAAAGGAAUUGGCUACCAAUAGACCAGCCUUAUAAGAGAUCCUUAAGAGUGUUAAUAAAAUGAAAGAACAAUAUCUGCUAUAUCUAUCUGCUACUACAAAAAUACACUGAAUUACAUAGACCAAAGAACCUGUAAAGCAACCGCACAACAGAAACUACAAAGCAACCACCUAACAACUUCAAUAUAGGAUCAAAACCUCACCUAUCAAUGUUAACCUUGACUCUAAAGGAUUUAAACACCUCCACUUAAAAUGUACAUAUUGGCAAGUUGGAUAAAAGAAAAACAAAAGAAAAUGAACAAGAGAAAGAAGUUAAAGUUAUCCAAAUAAUAAAUUAAAUUAAAUAAAUUAAAAAGAUCCAGAUAAGAAGAGAAUAAGUCGAACUAUCUCUCUUCACUGAUGAUAUGUUUCUAUACCUAGAAAACCCUAAGGACUCUGUCAAAAAGCUUCUAGAACUGAUAAACAACUUCAGUAGUGUUUCAGGAUACAAAUUAAAUGUACCAAUAUUAGUAGCAUUCAAGAUGGGAACCAAAUCAAGAAUGUAAUCUCAUUUACAAUAGCCACAAGAAAAUAAAAUAGAAUACCUAGGAAUACAUCUAACCAAGAAGAUGAAAGAUCUCUGCAAGGAGAACCACAAAACAUUGCUGAAAGAAAUCACAGAUGACAUUAACAAAUGGAAAAACAUUGCAUGCCCAUGAGUUGGAAGAAUCAAUAUAAUUAAAAUGGCCAUACUGCUCAAUGUACUCUACAAAUUCAGCACAGUAUUCUUAUCAAAAUACCAAGGACUUUUUUCAUAGAAGUAGAAAAAAUAUUCUAAAAUUCAAAUGGAACCAUGAAACAACUAGAGUUGUCCAAGCAAUCCUAAGCAAAAAGAACCAAGUCAGAGGCAUCACAUUACCUGACUUCAAACUAUACCAUAAGGCCACGGUAACCAAAACAGCAUGGUACUGGUACAAAACAGACACAUAGACCAGUGAAACAUAACAGAGAACCCAGAAAUAAAGCUUCACUCCUAGAGCCAUCUGAUCUUCCACAAAGUCAACAAAAAUAAGCAAUGGGGAAAGAACUUCCUAUUCAAUAAAUGGUGCUCGGAUAGCUGACUAACCAUAUGCGGAAGAAUGAAACUAGACCCCUACCUUUGUCACCACAUACAAUAACUAAUUCAAGAUGGAUUAAAGAUUUAAAUGUAAGACCUCAAACUGUAAGAAUCCUAGAAGAAAGCCUCAGAAACAUCAUUCUGAACACAGACCUUGGGAAAAAAAUUAUCCGUAAAAAGCAGUUGCAACAAAAGCAAAAAUUGACAAGUGGGACCUAAUUAAACUGAAGAGCUUCUGCACAGCAAAAGAAACUAUCAACAGAAUAAACAGACAACCUACAGAAUGGGAGAAAAUAUUCACAAACUGUAAAUCCAGCAAAGGUCUAACAUCCAGAAUCUACAGAAACUAAAGCAGCUGAACAAGCAAGAAACAAGUAACCCCAUUUUUAAAAAUAGGCAAAAGAUAUGAACAAACACUUCUCAAAAGAAGACAAACAUGUGGCCAACAAACAUGAAAAAAAUGUUCCACGUCACUAGUUAUCAGAUAAAUGCAAAUCAUAACUACGAUGAGAUACCAUAUCCCACCAGUCAGAAGGCUAUUAUUAAAAAGUCAAAAAAACAAGAGCUGCUUAGUGAGGCUGCAGAAAUGAGAAUACUUAUAUACUGUAGGUGGGAAUGUAAAUUAUUUCAGCCAUUGUGGAAAGCAGCUCAGAGAUUUCUAUUAACAAAAGAACUUUAGGUUCUAGAUAACUUAAUAAACAAAGUUACCAUUCAACCCAGCCAUCCUAUUAUUAGGUAUAUAUCCAAAAGAAAACAAGUCAUUCUACCAAUAGACGCAAGGACUCGCAUAUUCAUCGCAGCACUAUUUAUUAUACAAUAGCAAAUACAUGGAGUCAAUCUGGGUGCCCAUCAAUGGUGGAUUGGAUAAAGAAAAUGUGGUACAGAUACACCAGGGAAUACUAUGCGGACAUACAAAAAGUAAAAAUACAUCGUUUGCAUUAAUGUGGAUGCAGCUGGAGGUCAUUAUCCUAAGUCAGUUGGGUGAGGAACAGAAAAUCAAAUACCAUAUGUUCUCACUUUUUUUUUUUUUUUUGAGAGUCUCACUCUUGUCCCCCAGGCUGGAGUGCAAUGGCGCAACCCCAGCUCACUGCAACCUCCGCCUCCCAGGUUCAAGUGAUUCUCCUACCUCAGCCUCCCAAGUAGCUGGGAUUACAGGCGCCUGCCACCAUGCCCAGCUAAUUUUUGUAUUUUUAGUAGAGAUGGGGUUUCACCAUGUUGGCCAGGCUGGUCUCAAACUCCUGACCUCAGGUGAUCCGCCCACCUCGGCCUCCCAAAGUACUGAGAUUACAGGCAUGAGCCACCGUGCCCAGCCAUGUUUUCACUUUUAAGUGGGAGUUAAACAUUGGGUACUUAUGGACAUAAAGAUGGCAACAAUAGAAAUUGUGGACUACGGUAAGGGAGAGAGGGAAAGGAGAGAAGGUUGGAACACUAAUUAUUGGGCACUAUGCUUAAUACCUGGGUGAUGGAAUCAUUCAUACUCCAAACCUCAGAAUUACACAAUAUACCCAUGUAAUAAACCUGCAUAUGUACCCUUGAUUUUAAAAUGAAAAUUUAAAAAUAAAUAAAUAAAUAAAAUAAUCUGAUAAUGAUGUAAAAUUUUAAAAAAAGAAAA